GACGAACGCUGGCGGCGUGCUUAACACAUGCAAGUCGAACGGAAAGGCCCUUCGGGGUACUCGAGUGGCGAACGGGUGAGUAACACGUGGUGAUCUGCCCUGCACUCUGGGAUAAGCCUGGGAAACUGGGUCUAAUACCGGAUAUGAUCAUGCGCCUCAUGGUGUGUGGUGGAAAGCUUUUGCGGUGUGGGAUGGGCCCGCGGCCUAUCAGCUUGUUGGUGGGGUAAUGGCCUACCAAGGCGACGACGGGUAGCCGGCCUGAGAGGGUGACCGGCCACACUGGGACUGAGAUACGGCCCAGACUCCUACGGGAGGCAGCAGUGGGGAAUAUUGCACAAUGGGCGCAAGCCUGAUGCAGCAACGCCGCGU
rnacentral:rRNA from 1 species